GCAAUGCCACACUCCGCACGAGGCACAGUGUCAGCUAUUAUAUUCAUCAUCAUUGCUUAGCCAACACCAAACAUACGAGCAUUUAUUCAACGUGUUGCAAUAUAAUACUCCACAAAAAGGCGCACAGUCAGCAGUAGAAAACAAUACUUCUAAGUAUAUUAAUAAGUUAGUUUGAUAAGAGACCUGGAAUAAAGAAGGCGUAACAACACCAUACAAAUACCCAAAAUACUUAACUGGCGCCCAACAAUGUUAACAAAUAAAUAUAAAAUAAGUUUAUAAAAAACUUAAAACAUUAAGUGAAACUUGGAAAGAAGGUAUGUCACCAGGCUUCGAAAUCAGUCUGGGCUGCGUAGAAAUAAGAAACACAAGAGGACAACAACGGCGACAACACCAUCAGCGGAGACGACACCCACAACAUAAAAUGGAGUCUCUAUUUAUACAAUUGUAAGAUAGUUGCUUAAAUUCAAUUUAAUUUAAUUUCUUUAAAAAUGCAACCCUUUGCUCUUUUUCUUCAAUUUGUCAAAUACCAUUUUAUUCAGCUUUGAACUUUCGUUCAAUGUUACACAGAGCCGAAAAUACAAUGACUUUUUUAACCAUGUGCAUGGUUAAUUUUUUCAUGGUAAAUGUUUGAGAUUACAAACACAAAAUAACGUUAUAUAAGGUCAAAUGUUGUUGUUUUUUUGAGAGAGACGGAAAAAUGUGAGAGAUACAUAAAAAUUUAAAGAGCCUUCGGCUCUGUUGUGGUCAACAAUUUUGAACUGCUUUGUGUUUGACGAAGUUCAAUAUUACAAUAUACGAAGUUGCAACGAAUGUGACUGUCAUAUUCCCCCUCCUCCUCUUUAUCGAAUCUCUUUCUGUGGUCUGAAUAUGUGUAAGAAAGAUCAAAUAGACAAUCACUUCUUUAGUUGGUGUUGAAUAGUGCAAGGGAGUAGUGCACGUGCUCGUGGGAAUAGUGCUUGGUAUAAAGUUGUUUUUUUCUCUGGUGUCUUUUUUUUGGGUGCUCGUGCGUACAUUUUUGUCGGUGUUUGGCGUUUUGUAGUUUUUUUUCACAAUGGCUGAGGAAUAUAAUUUAAAAUCACUCGGUAAGGCGUUAAAAAAUAAAAUUUAUAUUAAACAUAUAUCUUUCUUUAGCAGCCCUCCCUUAAAUAUACAUACAAUUUGUAAUGGAAAUACAUAUUUUAGAAAUAUGCGGUAUUAAUAAAUAAAUAAUAAAUAAACUUUUAAAAAUUACAUUUUUCUUGUUUUAUUCAAACAAAGGUUAAUUUAUUAUUAAAAAUUAUCAUAUGAACUGUUUAGACAAACUGACUAUGAAAUGUUAUUAUUAACAAUUCUCAUGGUUACAAAAAUUUAACAGUGCAUUGUUAAAACAACAAUUUUUUUUCAGUAUCAACAAUUUUCGUGGUUAAAAAAGUCAAUCAUGGAAUAGCUAAAUUAACGAUGAUUAUUUUUAAAUACCAGUCAACAAGAAAAUGUUUAAAUUAACCUUACAUAACGUUGACUCCAAAUCAUGUUUAUUUAUGGUUAAGCUAACCUUGUAUAAGGUUAAUUUUUUUCUCUGUGUAGUGAUGACAAAUUGUAACGAGCAAAGAUGAUCAAAUUCGCGCCUCUCUUGUGACAUCUAGGCUUGCUCGCUACUUUUUAACUUACUUUUUUCGGAUUUUCGUCCAACAACAUCGAGCAACACCCAUUGUUAAAAAAGGUAAAUAAAAUUAGUUCUUCGACUAAUAUUCAA